rnacentral:rRNA from 1 species
UGGGGAAUAUUGGACAAUGGGCGCAAGCCUGACCCAGCCAUGCCGCGUGAGUGAUGAAGGCCUUAGGGUUGUAAAGCUCUUUCGGCGGGGACGAUAAUGACGGUACCCGCAGAAGAAGCCCCGGCUAACUUCGUGCCAGCAGCCGCGGUAAUACGAAGGGGGCUAGCGUUGCUCGGAAUCACUGGGCGUAAAGGGCGCGUAGGCGGACAUUUAAGUCGGGGGUGAAAGCCCAGGGCUCAACCCUGGAAUUGCCUCCGAUACUGGGUGUCUCGAGACCGGAAGAGGUGAGUGGAACUGCGAGUGUAGAGGUGAAAUUCGUAGAUAUUCGCAAGAACACCAGUGGCGAAGGCGGCUCACUGGUCCGGUUCUGACGCUGAGGCGCGAAAGCGUGGGGAGCAAACAGGAUUAGAUACCCUGGUAGUCCACGCCGUAAACGAUGGAUGCUAGCCGUUGGCAGGCUUGCCUGUCAGUGGCGCAGCUAACGCUUUAAGCAUCCCGCCUGGGGAGUACGGCCGCAAGGUUAAAACUUAAAUGAAUUGACGGGGUCAUAGCUGUUUCCU